rnacentral:tRNA from 1 species
GAGGGUUAGCUCAGCUGGUUAGAGCGCCUGCUUCACACGCAGGAGGUCACUGGUUCGAGUCCAGCACUCUCC